rnacentral:lncRNA from 1 species
UAUUGUGUCAAAAUAUAUUCAUAUUUUGCUCCCAAAAGAUUGUGCCAAUUUACAAUCCUACAACUGUGAUAAGUGAAUUCAUUUCCCUGCAUUCUCAACAAAAUUGGAUAUAAUCUCUCUAAUUAGUUUAGGUGAAAAAUAGAUCAUGUAACAUUUUAAACUUUAUGAAAACCUUUCUCACAUGUAUCAACUGUAUUACUGUUUUCCUUAAGGUUUUUUUUUCCCCCCCUCUUGACUGACUUGUAGGACAGGUUUAUAUAGUACUUCUUGGAGCCAGCAAACUAUUAACAUGAGGUAAAGGGAAACAUCCAGAGAGCCCUGUGGACUGUCAGCUAAAGUAUCUGGAUCCCUGCCAGUGGCAGCAAUGGACCUCUCUGUCCCUCUGUUUUGGCCCCUGAUACUUGAGGCUAGUCAGACACUUUGCAUGUUGUGCGAACAACUGAUUUCAUGUUGUCAAGUUGACUGGGUCACAGGAUGCCCAGAGGUUUGAUUUAACAUUAUUUCUGGGUCUGUCUGACAGUUUCCUGAAGAAACUAGCACUUGAAUCAAUAGUCUGGGUUAAGCAGACUGCACUCCCCAAUGUGGGUGGGUAUCAGCAGAUCCCUUAAGGGUUUAAACAGAACAAAAACUCAGAGGAAGAGAGAAGUAGGUCCCUGCCUGACCACUGAGAUGGGACAUGGGUCUUCUCCUGCUUUGGAACUGGCACACCCUUAGGGCUCCAGUUCUCGGGACUUCAGGUUUGGGCUGGAUUUGGGCUGGAACUACCCCACCAGUUUCCCUGGGUAUCCAGCUUGCAGAUGACAGACUGUGGGACUUAGCCUCCUCUAUCAUAUGAGCUAAUUCUUGAUAAUAAUAAAUAAAUCUCUUAACAGAUAAUCAUGUUGGUUAUAUAUUAAGUAUGACAGCAUUAGGAUGGGAAAGUAGGGAAUUUGUCAGUUAGUAAACUUCUCAAUAAGUAGACUUUAAACAUUAAUAACUUGCCAUCACAUACAUGUAACUGGGAAGAUAAAUAUGAUGCCAAUACUAGUGCCCAUUGCAGCCUUGUUCAGCAGAGUAAAUAAUACAUAUUUUGGAUAAAAUAGUCUAGGUGUUCUGCAAAGAAACAUCCUUCUGCAUAUAGGGCAUGAUUUUGGAAGGAUGACUUGGCUCAGUAGUUGCCAUAUACAGGGUCCUUUGAGCAGCUGAUCAAUCUCUUUGAGAAAUGUCUCCCCUCUGAGAAUUGAUUCCUCUCAUUGGACCCAGAAUCACUGAAUGACUUUGGAAAGUAACCUCCUGUACUUCAGUGUCCAAUAUGUAAGAUGAAAAUGAUAACUGCAGUAAUUACCACAUACUUGUUAUACAAAGAUGAAAUAUAAAUUUAGAUGAUUGCCUGAUACAGGUAAGACAAUUUUUUACCUGUUAUCAUCAGUGUACUUUUUCAUGUUUCUCUAGCUUCACUAACCUGAUUAUAGUAAUUUUUAUCUUUGAUGUGUCCCCCAAAGAUGGAUUUUUUGAGGUCAAGGGUUUCCUUUACUUUUACAUCACAAAGUCACACAUUAUCUAUAAAAUACUAGGCCCUGAAAAGAUAUUUAAUGGUAGAUAAGUAGGUGGCCAAAUCACCCAGCUGAAUCUUUCCUGUUUUAAUUCCCCUUUCUGGUUUCUAGUUCUAGCUCAUAAUUACUCUUUAAUAAGUUGGACAGUCUUUUAACAUAUAUAUACACACACACCGUCCAGUUAAACUGUAAAAAGAAUUACAUCUAAAGUCAAUCAAAAUAUACUGAACCCCAACCUUAAACAAGGUACUCAUUGUCUCACGGCUGUUUCUCUCAUUAAUGGCAGGUUCAUCACAGAGGACUUGUUAAGGAAUGGAAACUGAUACUGAGCAAAAUAGCCUUCACCUUAAGAGGAAUAUGGUCAGUUUUAUAAGAUCAUAAUUUAGAAUCUAAAUAAGAGCAUUAUCAAAAUGUGGUCAUUAGGGAUGAAAAGUACUGUCUGUAGAAAAAAUCAUCAGUGUGGCUAUUGAAACGCAUGACCUAGACAAUUCAGCUUUCAUACAUUAGAGACCUGUGGACACACCAAAAGCUAACAGAAUGCUGGUGUGUUUUUAAGGUUUAUGAACAACUACUUUUCUUGUUUCUUCCUUUAGAGGUAAGGCCUGUUUAUACCACAUAUUAAUAGUUCUGACUUGCUAUGUAGGUGUCAUUCAUGUGAAAAACAGUUCAUUCCACAUGGUUCCAAAAAUGACCAACACUAUCUCAAAUUCAUAAAAUUGAACAUGUUUUCUAUUAAAAUAAAUUAUUAAAAGUUAUGUCUUCCAUAGCAGGCAGAGAGAAUUCUGCACCUCCAAUGCAAAAAGGCUACAGUGAGGUUUUAGAAUAUAAUGGAAUGCUAAAUAUAAAAAGGCAUUUAUUUUAUAUAGUCAGUUCAUGCUUUGGUAUUCAAAUCAAGAAAAAAAAAGAUUUUCAGUCAGUCUUUACACAGAAUGUUGGAAGAUGGAAAGAUAUGAAUAUAUUAGCGAUUAUUUGGGGUAGUUUAUAUGCCUAAAAGUUGGUCAUACUGUGUCUUUUCCUACACAUCCUAAAAACUCCAAAAAAGUGUCCUGGUUGGUAUUUAAAUAGAAUUAAAGAAUGUUAGAUCUUCAAGGAAACUUAGAGCUCUUUUUAGCAAUUUUUUUCUAUAUAAUCAUUAGGAAGGGAGGUGUACUCAUUAGGAAGGAGGGUGACAAUCAGUUAUUAAAGAGAUUUUUCCAAAAAAAAUACAUUUAACUACUGGUACAACCAAAACUCAUUCCCAAGUUUGGUGCAUUUUUGAAGUAUAAAAAGUCUUCCUCCUGUAGACAAAGGCAGGCUUUGAUUUAUAUAGAGUUGAAAGCCUCAAAUUUUAAAAGAUCUAAACUCAACUAGGAUACAUUCACACUAGGAACCACCAUGGAAAUAACACACAUUAUCCCAAUUCUAUGGGUCUACCUAUCACACUGCAUAAAUUGGAAAGAACUGACUGUAACUAAAAGAAGAUAAAUCAACUGUGAGCAUGCUCUCACUCAAGACCAACAUAUCUAUUUAUUAAAGUAUUAAAAUAGUUCCAUACUAGCUCAGGGCUCCACACACACCCUUGGUGCCCUUUGUCUGGAAUCCAAGUCUUCCCAUAAGUCAGCAGCCCCGGGUUUUAAGUACUAGCAUGUCAGGAAUCUCCAAGACCCAAUUCCUUCUCGAGGCUGGCUUCCAUUCUAAUCAUUGGUGUUCAUUGUUGGUAAAUAUAUUAAUAUUGUCCCUGGAGCCACCUACUCCCUUUUCCUUCUAUAAAUGUGAAAUAGCAGCAUUUUAUUCAGAUUCCCAGAUACAUCCUUAUUUAUAUGAAGAUAAACUUGGCAUAACAAAUAAGGGUUAUUUGAUGAAUUAAAAUUAAGAAUCUGAUUUUCAAGUCUCCAAUGGUUCCAAAGAAAACUCAGCUAAAGUGCUACUUAAAAAAACCCAGGAUAAUUACUGAAAGAUUAAAAGAUACUUCUAUUUAUAAAUAACAUUCAAACAAGUUUAAGGUUUUACCCCAAAUCACUGUCUUGUGGGCAUCAUAACUGUGUCCUUAAGUAGUGAUUAUCAAUAUAAAUUAUAUCUUCAAGUCAAGAGCAUGGUGGUCGACUUAGAAUCCUCAAAGGCUUAGCAGUUGAGUUCCUACCUCCAAAAAUGCCCCUAAACCCUAUGCAAACUGGCCCUCCACAUUGAAACAUUUAGUAUGAGGAGCAGUCAGAAAUUCUGGUGGAAAGUAAUCAUAAAACCCCCUUCCCCUGAAAAGACAAAAGCCAACAGUAGAAUCAAAUUGGUGUUUGAGCUUAGAUUGAAGGAGGAACUUAUAACAGAAUAGGACAUAAAAGGCAAAGCAGUGCAGAAUAAAUAGAAUAGUACGUAACAGGAAGGGAUUCAAACCAAUAUAAACAACUGCAAAGGGCCUUAUUGGCAGACUUUCAGACACAGAAUUUGAGGAGGAGAGAAACAUUUAAUUGUUGAGUAAUACUUCUUAAAUGAUGUUUUACCUCAAGGAAAUCAUAUCAGUGAAGAAUGUGAAGACGGCUGGGCAGCUGCGUCCACCCGUUCUAACCAGAGCCCAGCUGCGGGAAGAAAAGCCAGAAACAGAGAAGACAAAGAAUAAUGAAUGAGAGGAUCAAAUCUAGAAAGAAAGAGAAAUUAAAAUGAGACAGUGAAAAAUUAAGCUGCAACUCAGGCUAGAAAAAGAAGCUUUAAACAAACUGUAGCAAGUGUAAUUUAGAAUGUUUUUAAACUAUUGAAAACAAUUCUUUCUGAGACUGAUUUUUAAGACUGGCAGAUCCUUGAAAUCCUUGCCCCUGUGGUGGAAUGACUGAAAGAUAGAACUAUGCACUCACAAUGUGGGCCACUGGGUUGCCAUGAGCUGUUUAUAAAGUGGGCAUAAUUAAGAAAAUGGGUGCACAUUUGGCUAUUAUUCUCUAUCUUCUAAAACCAAGUACAAAGCCUCCAUAGUUCUCCCAUACAGAAAAUAUAUGAUUUGUGUCUUUCCAAAGUAUACUGGAAUACUGGAAAUGUCAUUAUUGAAAUGAUAGCAGUCCAGGGCCUUAAAAUUUUACAGUCAACAGACUUAAGGGAAGCAAUUCAGCUCAGUGGUGAGCUCAACUCUCAAACUACCUGUAUUUGAAACCCAUGAUGCCACUUUCCACCUUAACCCCUUAAAUUUCUUAAGCCCUUUAAACUUCAGGUUACUCCUAACUAAAAUGAGAACUGUUAUAACUGUUAUAACUCCAAGGCUUAUUAGAAGGACUAUGGAAAACCCUUAGUAGAUUGCUUGCCAAUGGCUCGAUAAAUGGUAACUCAGUCUGUGUAUCAUGCAUGUCCUCUCUGGUACUCUCCAAAAAGAUCUGUUUUGGUUUAGUAUUAGUGCCUAUUGUUAACACAUGUUUACUAAGUCAGUAACUCUUAGAUGAUAAAAUCAUGUCUACAAUGAGUCAAUAAAUGAAUGUGUGCUGAGCACUUUCCCUGGGCUCAGCACUUCCAUGGGUAAUAGAAUGGAAAACAUAUGGGCCCUGUCCAAAAGGUGCUGAUUAAAUGCAACAACCUGUGACAUCUCUGUGUUCAAAGUGGGUAGGCUAAAAAUCUAAUUUUAACAGGUGUUAGAACUCAUGGUAAACCAGUCAGAACUGGAAUCGUCGAAGAAAGAUUCAGAGACCAAAGAGAAAAUAAAUUAAGUCUUGGAGAAUGCAUAGCAUCAUGACAGGC